rnacentral:rRNA from 1 species
GACGAACGCUGGCGGCGUGCUUAACACAUGCAAGUCGAACGGAAAGGCCCUGCUUUUGUGGGGUGCUCGAGUGGCGAACGGGUGAGUAACACGUGAGUAACCUGCCCUUGACUUUGGGAUAACUUCAGGAAACUGGUGCUAAUACCGGAUAGGAGCUCCUGCUGCAUGGUGGGGGUUGGAAAGUUUCGGCGGUUGGGGAUGGACUCGCGGCUUAUCAGCUUGUUGGUGGGGUAGUGGCUUACCAAGGCUUUGACGGGUAGCCGGCCUGAGAGGGUGACCGGCCACAUUGGGACUGAGAUACGGCCCAGACUCCUACGGGAGGCAGCAGUGGGGAAUAUUGCACAAUGGGCGGAAGCCUGAUGCAGAAACGCCGCGUGCGGGAUGACGGCCUUCGGGUUGUAAACCGCUUUCGCCUGUGACGAAGCGUGAGUGACGGUAAUGGGUAAAGAAGCACCGGCUAACUACGUG